rnacentral:rRNA from 1 species
GACGAACGCUGGCGGCGUGCUUAACACAUGCAAGUCGAACGGAAAGGCCCUUCGGGGUCCUCGAGUGGCGAACGGGCGAGUAACACGUGGGCAAUUUGCCCUCCACUUUGUGAUACUCCGGGGACAUUGGGACUACUACCGAAAUGGGCCACGCGCUUCUUGGCGGGUGGUGGAAAUCUUUUGCGGUGUGGGUUGGGCCCGCGGCCUAUGGGUUCGUUGGUGGGUUAAUGGCUGACCAAGGCACCGCCGGGUAGCCGGCCUGUGAGGGUGACCGGCCACAAGGGGACUGAGGUAGGGCGCAGAAGCCAACGGGAGGCAGCAGGGGGGAAUAUUGCGCAAUGGGCGCAAGCCUGAUGCAGCGACGCCGCGUUAGGGAUGACGGCCUUCGGGGUGUAAACCUCUUUCAAUAGGGACGAAGCGGAAGUGACGGUACCUAAAGAAGAAGCACCGGCCAACUACGUG